AUGCAUGGUUCCCCAAAGCAACACCUGGGUUCUACAAGAAAGAGGAAUAAACGCAGGACAGGCAACGGUUGGUGCCCAUUGCAGGUUCUAGCAUGUGCACCGAUGUCAAGGUGGGAAUGCGCCUUAGUCUGCAGGUGUUCCAGGGACAGACCUUCAGUGCAGCAGCCUGAUCUACUUCCCACUCCUCCUUGAGCAGGUCUCGAACUCAGAGCCCCCGCCCCACCCUGCACGGCUCUGAUCUUAGCUACGGCGUUCUCUGCUUUAUAUUCCUCUCUGCUUUCUCUGCCGGUACAACUUCAUGGACUUUAUUCUCAGAAAUCUAUCAGAUUUCUGACCUUCUACAGGCUUCCUUUAGGUGAUCUAUUCCCUUUUCUUCUUCUUUGUCACAUCAGUGUGGUUGUAGGAAGAGGCGGCAAAGGCCUGUUCCGCCUGCCAUCUUGUAUCAGGAGUUUUGGUGGCUAGAUUAAUCCUUUGAAUAUUUCCGUGGAGGGUUGAUUUUAAGGGCUCCCUUAUUCUUGGCAAAUAACCCACAUCUGUUGGCCAUCAGAUGAGAAGCCCCUAGCUUUUUCUUUGCUCAAGAGGGAAAGAAGAUUUACUAUUUAUGUAAUGCUACGUUCAGAUUUUAUCAGCCGGCGCUCUGUUGAUCCAGGUCCGGGGGCCCUGGCGUCCAGCUGUCCUCUACCGGCCGUGCUGACUUCAUUGCCGACAAACGUCUUCCACGUUCAUCCUCUCCCGUGACUUUUGUGUUUGCUCGGAUGCUGAAUUUUAAGGAGAACUUCCUUCUCUCAUCUCCCAAAAGACACAAAGGAGCAUCUGUUAAACUCUCAAAGGCUGAGGUUCCCUCUCUUCUGAGUGACAUUUUCGUUUUAGGAAAGGGAGGGAACUCAGAAUACAUGUAUUCUCAACAUAGGAAUGAGGCAACCUGAAAUUGUAGCCCCGGCCUUGUCCCUUCCCCGUGUGUGACCUCCGGGAGUCUUCGAGCCUGAACGGCAACAUCUGAAAAACGGGGCUAGGAGCACUGACAGUAUUUGAAAAGCACUUCGUGAACUAUCACAUAAAUGAAAGCUAUUAUUCGGGAGGCUCAGCACUGUGGAAGCAACACUUAAAAUUGCCUUAAGCCCAUGGCCUCUAGAAAAGCUGAUUCUGGAACCCAAGGCAGAUUUUAAUGAUUAGAUCCACUCCGUGCUACAGG
rnacentral:lncRNA from 12 species